AUUGAACGCUGGCGGCAGGCCUAACACAUGCAAGUCGAGCGGAUGAGUGGAGCUUGCUCCAUGAUUCAGCGGCGGACGGGUGAGUAAUGCCUAGGAAUCUGCCUGGUAGUGGGGGACAACGUUUCGAAAGGAACGCUAAUACCGCAUACGUCCUACGGGAGAAAGCAGGGGACCUUCGGGCCUUGCGCUAUCAGAUGAGCCUAGGUCGGAUUAGCUAGUAGGUGAGGUAAUGGCUCACCUAGGCGACGAUCCGUAACUGGUCUGAGAGGAUGAUCAGUCACACUGGAACUGAGACACGGUCCAGACUCCUACGGGAGGCAGCAGUGGGGAAUAUUGGACAAUGGGCGAAAGCCUGAUCCAGCCAUGCCGCGUGUGUGAAGAAGGUCUUCGGAUUGUAAAGCACUUUAAGUUGGGAGGAAGGGCAGUAAGUUAAUACCUUGCUGUUUUGACGUUACCAACAGAAUAAGC
rnacentral:rRNA from 1 species